GUCCCAGCCAUAAACUAUGCUCACUAGGUGUGGGGGGUAUCGACCCCUUCCGCGCCGUCGCUAACGCAUUAAGUGAGCCGCCUGGGGAGUACGGCCGCAAGGUUGAAACUCAAAGGAAUUGACGGGGGCCCCGCACAAGCGGUGGAGUAUGUGGUUUAAUUCGACGCAACGCGAAGAACCUUACCUGGGCUUGAAGUGCUGGUAGUAGAAUUCUGGAAACAGAAGACGACCCGUAAAGUCGGAUGCCAGCAGAGGUGCUGCAUGGCUGUCGU
rnacentral:rRNA from 1 species